rnacentral:lncRNA from 1 species
UUGAAAGUUCGCUAGGCCGGACAGAUCGUCGUGUUUGAGUUACGGUCUCGUCACAAUUAGGUUGGGGUUCACAAUUGCGAACCCAUGUUCGCAUUUCCCAUAACCGAGACCUGCAUUUUUCUAUACUUAGUCGAUUUUAAGUUAUUUUUCACAUCUUUUCAAAACACAACUCCUUUGGGUGAUUUUCGAAGGACAAGUCUUCUUCCAAAUUUAUUGUAAGUUAGUUUUACUCAAUUCUUUUUAUCAUUAAUAUAUUUUAACAUGAUUUCAACCUAAAAUCAAAUAUUUUCAUGGGAGAAAUUGGGAGCUUUGGGUAGAUUCUAGGUUUUUUCAAAAAUUGGGGAUUUGGACCUCAAUUUGAGGUCCGAUUUCAAAAUAAAUUAUAUAUUUGAGUUUGUGUGGGAAUUUAUAAUCGGGUUUUGCUUCGAACCUCGGAUUUUGACCAUGUGGGCCCGGGGGAGAUUUUUGACUUUUUGGGCAAAACUUUGAAAAUUUUAUUUUUAUGCAGUCAAAUUGAGUUAGCGUUUAUUGAUGUAAUUAAGUAACUUUUGACUAGAUUCGAGUGGAUUGGUGGUGGAAUCACGAGGUAAAGCUCUAAUUGAAACUUGAGUUGUGUUCAAAGCAUCGAGAUAAGUGUUUGGUCUAACCUUAGCUUGAGGGAUUUGGAAUUGAAUCAUAUUUGCUAUGUGAUAAUUGUUGAGUACAACGUAUAGGCAUGGUGAUGAGUAUCUAUACGUUGGUGUCUAGCAUGACCAUGAGUCUUUAUAUUGUGAAUUUCAUGGUUUAAUUGUAUCUUCCAUGCCUUAGUGGCAAUUCCUAUGUGUUGUGAAAAGCUUGUGAAAGAAAUUGUGACUUUUGAACAUCGUGGAGUAUUGGCUCGAGUUAUAUUACAAAUUGUGAAAGUAUAUGAGAUAUUGAACCCACUGGAGCAAUUUCUCAAGUGCAUAAUUCAGUUAUGAACAAAAAGUGGAAGAAAGAGAAAGAGUAUUUAAUUGUUCAGUUGUCGAGAUGUUAGUUGUUUUGUUGGUUAUCUCCUUUGCCGGGACGUUGAGAUUAUUGAUGUGUUCCCUUGCCGGGAUUUAACUGUUUAAUUAUGUUCUAGUUCCGGGAUUUCUAUUAGUGUUUGUUUACUCCCUUGGUUGCAUUGUUUGUAGUUGUUGUUUGGGUGAGGAAGAGUGAUAAAAACACAAAAGGUGAUGUUGUGCAUUGCUUGCUAUUGUGAGGAAAGACUGCAAAUCACGAAGAGUGAUGUUGUGCCGUACGAUGUACCAUUCCGUACCAAUUUUCAUUGAUUAUAUGGUGAGGAACGAGAGUAAAAGCACGAAGGGUGAUGUCGUGCACACUUUUAUGUUAAAAUUGCUUUGCAGAGGAUGCGAGUAAAAGCACGAAGGGUGAUUCCGUGCAAGUUGUUGGUUUCUGAUUCUUGUUGGUAUUCCAGUUAUGUUGUUUCAUUUCCUUAUUUGGUGCUUUCAAUUCGGAAUUGUUAUCUCCCCCACAACAUGUUUCCUCUUCCCACAUUUCUUGGUUAUUAUAUGUAUUUCCUUUCCAUUGUAUAUAUGUAUUUGAACUACACCGAUUUAUUAGGUAGUCAGAUCCUAGCCUACAUUUACAUGCACAUGGGGUCGGUUGUGAUGAAUAGUAACUCUUAGACAAUCUAUAACAUUGUGACACCGGGUUUUGGGCAAUUGAGGUUUUGAAAGUUGUAAUAGACGUGGCCUUCAGUUUUAUAAUUGUGACUUCUGCUUAUCUGUCUUAAAUUCAAUUUUCUUAUAUUAUUGAAUGGUGUUCGUUAAAAUG